UACAGGGGGUGCAAACGUUGCUCGGAAUCAUUGGGCGUAAAGCGCACGUAGGCGGUUCGUUAUGUCGGAUGUGAAAGCCCUUGGCUUAACCGAGGAAGUGCAUCCGAAACUGGCGAGCUAGAGUACUAAAGAGGAUCGCGGAAUUCCCGGUGUAGAGGUGAAAAUUCGUAGAUAUCGGGAGGAACACCGGUGGCGAAGGCGGCGAUCUGGGUAGAUACUGACGCUGAGGUGCGAAAGCGUGGGGAGCAAACAGG
rnacentral:rRNA from 1 species